GUUCACUGAUCUUGUCUGAUGUAUUUACACGUACCGUAAAAAAAUGUGUUCGAGUUUGCCUUGAUUUUGUCAAAAUUUGCUAUUGGUUUAAUUUUAAAUUUCAUUUUUCCACCGUGAUUCUAGAGAAUGCUUUCAAGCAAGUUCAACAAUGACUUGGAAGCUUUUAAGUUGGGAAUCAAGUUUUAUAGCAGAAUUACAGUGAAGGUUCCAAUCAUUAUAUAACUUGUGCACCUAUAAAUUUUUUUCUUAACACCAUUGAAGAAUUUCGUCCACAAAAUUUAAAAUUUUGUUUAAAUGUUAUUGUUUAUGUCAAAUUUUUUGAGAAAGCCUAUUUUCCUAACUUGUCUAUUAUUAGUUUAUAUGACAGGAACAAGCUUCGUAUUGGAACAAGAAGUUGUAAGGAUUUUUUAUUUUGUCGGACCGCGUCCAGGUGAGCUUAAGCAUGUUGUGGUCAUUUCCAUCAAAGUUCCAUUAUAACAAAGGUCUUUCACGAACACAAAGAAGUCGACAAUUAGGGAUGCAACUAAUUGAUGGAUGAGCUUCCUUGUUGGGGUUGGUGUGUGAUUUGUGUUUGUAGGAAUUUGAACAUGUUUAAUAUAAUGUACUAGCAAGUCCGAGAAUA